rfam:Ancylostoma duodenale strain Zhejiang A_duodenale-1.0_Cont16766.1, whole genome shotgun sequence.
AUCUCUGGCUCCUCUGCAUUUAACCGAGAAAAUCUUUCGCCUUUUACUAAAGAUUUCCGUGCAAAGGUGCAUCUUAUGAGUAUUCACUAAUUUCUGGAAUCCCCUCGAAAGAGCGGGAU